rnacentral:rRNA from 1 species
AGAGUUUGAUCCUGGCUCAGGACGAACGCUAGCGGCAGGCCUAAUACAUGCAAGUCGGACGGGAUCCAUCGGAGAGCUUGCUCGAAGAUGGUGAGAGUGGCGCACGGGUGCGUAACGCGUGAGCAACCUGCCCAUAUCAGGGGGAUAGCCCGAAGAAAUUCGGAUUAACACCGCAUAACACAGCUGACCGGCAUCGGUCUACUGUUAAAUAUUUAUAGGAUAUGGAUGGGCUCGCGUGACAUUAGCUAGUUGGUAGGGUAACGGCCUACCAAGGCUACGAUGUCUAGGGGCUCUGAGAGGAGAAUCCCCCACACUGGUACUGAGACACGGACCAGACUCCUACGGGAGGCAGCAGUAAGGAAUAUUGGUCAAUGGAGGGAACUCUGAACCAGCCAUGCCGCGUGCAGGAUGACUGCCCUAUGGGUUGUAAACUGCUUUUGUCAGGGAAUAAACCUCAUUAUGUAUAAUGAGCUGAAUGUACCUGAAGAAUAAGGAUCGGCUAACUCCGUGCCAGCCGCCGCGGUAAUAC